rnacentral:rRNA from 1 species
CAGCACCUCAAGUGGUCAGGAUGAUUAUUGGGCCUAAAGCAUCCGUAGCCGGCGCUGUAAGUUUUCGGUUAAAUCCAUACGCUCAACGUAUGGGCUGCCGGGAAUACUGCAAGGCUAGGGAGUGGGAGAGGUAGACGGUACUCGGUAGGAAGGGGUAAAAUCCUUUGAUCUAUUGAUGACCACCUGUGGCGAAGGCGGUCUACCAGAACACGUCCGACGGUGAGGGAUGAAAGCUGGGGGAGCAAACCGGAUUAGAGACCCGAGUAGUCC